GCCUACGGGACGCAGCAGUGGGGAAUAUUGGACAAUGGGGGGAACCCUGAUCCAGCGACGCCGCGUGAGUGAAGAAGUAUUUCGGUAUGUAAAGCUCUAUCAGCAGGGAAGAAAGAAAUGACGGUACCUGAAUAAGAAGCCCCGGCUAACUACGUGCCAGCAGCCGCGGUAAUACGUAGGGGGCAAGCGUUAUCCGGAUUUACUGGGUAUAAAGGGAGCGUAGACGGCGGUGCAAGUCUGGAGUGAAAGGCAGGGGCCCAACCCCUGGACUGCUCUGGAAACUGUAGUGCUGG
rnacentral:rRNA from 1 species